rnacentral:rRNA from 1 species
GACGAACGCUGGCGGCGCGCUUAACACAUGCAAGUCGAACGGAAAGGCCUGCUUUCCCUUGUGGAUUGCGGGUACUCGAGUGGCGAACGGGUGAGUAACACGUGAGUGAUCUGCCCCCAACUUGGGUAUAAGCCUGGGAAACUGGGUCUAAUUCCCGAUAGGACUGCAGGGUGGUGCCUGUGGUGGAAAACGAUUUUCUAGUGGUUGGGGAUGAGCUCGCGGCCUAUCAGCUUGUUGGUGGGGUAAUGGCCUACCAAGGCGGCGACGGGUAGCCGGCCUGAGAGGGUGGACGGCCACAUUGGGACUGAGAUACGACCCCGACUCCUACGGGAGGCAGCAGUGGGGAAUAUUGCACAAUGAGCGGAAGCCUGAUGCAGCGACGCCGCGUGGAGGAUGACGGCCUUCGGGUUGUAAACUCCUUUCGACCGCGAGGAAGCCACCUGGUUGGAAGGGUGGUGACGGUAGUGGUAGAAGAAGCACCGGCUAACUACGUG